rnacentral:snRNA from 1 species
GUGCUCGCUUCAGCAGUGCAUAUACUAAAAUUGGAACGAUACAGAGAAGAUUAGCAUGGCCCCUGUGCAAGAAGAGAAUAGCAAAAUUUGGAAGCUGGAAAAUAGU